rnacentral:rRNA from 1 species
GACGAACGCUGGCGGCGUGCUUAACACAUGCAAGUCGAACGGAAAGGCCUGCUUUCCCUUGUGGAUUGCGGGUACUCGAGUGGCGAACGGGUGAGUAACACGUGAGUGAUCUGCCCCCAACUUGGGUAUAAGCCUGGGAAACUGGGUCUAAUUCCCGAUAGGACUGCAGGGUGGUGCCUGUGGUGGAAAACGAUUUUCUAGUGGUUGGGGAUGAGCUCGCGGCCUAUCAGCUUGUUGGUGGGGUAAUGGCCUACCAAGGCGGCGACGGGUAGCCGGACUGAGAGGGUGGACGGACACAUUGGGACUGAGAUACGGCCCAGACUCCUACGGGAGGCAGCAGUGGGGAAUAUUGCACAAUGGGCGGAAGCCUGAUGCAGCGACGCCGCGUGGGGGAUGACGGCCUUCGGGUUGUAAACUCCUUUCGACCGCGAGGAAGCCACCUGGUUGGAAGGGUGGUGACGGUAGUGGUAGAAGAAGCACCGGCUAACUACGUG